AAACAGACSAAUUAASGCUUAACGAACGAGACCCCCGCCUGCUAAAUAGUGGGGCUUACGUUUCUACGUAGGCAGCUCGCUCCUUAGAGGGACUUUCGGUGACUAACCGAAGGAAGUUGGGGGCAACAGGUCUGUG
rnacentral:rRNA from 1 species